AUACUUACCUUGUUCCAGUAUCCCGAGAUCAUGAAGUCGGGAUCCUAGUGUAAACUGCCUGCAUUGCACAGCGCGGAGUUUGCUUAUGCUCAGUUGCCGUUCUGCGGCCGCUGGGAGCGGAAUUUUUGUUUUCUUUCAUUGCGGCUGGUGCUACAUGUAC
rnacentral:snRNA from 16 species